rnacentral:lncRNA from 1 species
CGUAAUUUGCCCACCAUCUCCAUAGGGGCACGAGACGUUGGUGGGACAGAGAUAUAAAAGCAAGUGCACAACAGUCUUCAGAUAGACUGCGGCCCGCUACCAGGGCAGUCACUCCUGAUACCAAGGAACUUACCAAGGCAAACCAAAAGAGCCGCAGUCGAUGCAAUGCAUGUACCUUGCUAUUGUAUGCAUCCCCGUUGAAUAAAUGGACCAAACCAUAAUUGAC